rnacentral:rRNA from 1 species
AAGUAUCAUUAACUGAAUACAUAGGUUAAUGAGGCGAACCGGGGGAACUGAAACAUCUAAGUACCCCGAGGAAAAGAAAUCAACCGAGAUUCCGAAAGUAGCGGCGAGCGAAAUUGGACUAGCCCUUAAGCUUUAUAUGCGUUAGACGAACGGUCUGGAAAGUCCGGCGAUACAGGGUGAUAGCCCCGUAGUUGACAACGCACAUUCAGUGAAAUCGAGUAGGGCGGGACACGUGAUAUCCUGUCUGAAUAUGGGGGGACCAUCCUCCAAGGCUAAAUACUACUGACUGACCGAUAGUGAACCAGUACCGUGAGGGAAAGGCGAAAAGAACCCCUGUGAGGGGAGUGAAAUAGAACCUGAAACCGUGUACGUACAAGCAGUAGGAGCACCUUCGUGGUGUGACUGCGUACCUUUUGUAUAAUGGGUCAGCGACUUAUAUUCAGUGGCAAGGUUAACCAUCUAGGGGAGCCGUAGGGAAACCGAGUCUUAACUGGGCGCUCAGUCUCUGGAUAUAGACCCGAAACCAGGUGAUCUAGCCAUGGGCAGGUUGAAGGUUGAGUAACAUCAACUGGAGGACCGAACCGACUAAUGUUGAAAAAUUAGCGGAUGACUUGUGGCUAGGGGUGAAAGGCCAAUCAAACCUGGAGAUAGCUGGUUCUCCCCGAAAGCUAUUUAGGUAGCGCCUCGGACGAAUACUACUGGGGGUAGAGCACUGUUAAGGCUAGGGGGUCAUCCCGACUUACCAACCCUUUGCAAACUCCGAAUACCAGUAAGUACUAUCCGGGAGACACACGGCGGGUGCUAACGUCCGUCGUGGAGAGGGAAACAACCCAGACCGCCAGCUAAGGUCCCAAAUUAUUACUAAGUGGGAAACGAUGUGGGAAGGCUUAGACAGCUAGGAUGUUGGCUUAGAAGCAGCCAUCAUUUAAAGAAAGCGUAAUAGCUCACUAGUCGAGUCGGCCUGCGCGGAAGAUGUAACGGGGCUAAGUAAUAAACCGAAGCUGCGGCAAUGAAGUUUACUUCAUUGGGUAGGGGAGCGUUCUGUAAGCCGUUGAAGGUGAGUUGUAAAGCUUGCUGGAGGUAUCAGAAGUGCGAAUGCUGACAUGAGUAACGAUAAAGGGGGUGAAAAACCCCCUCGCCGGAAGACCAAGGGUGAAGUCAUUGAUGCCAUGCUUCCAGGAAAAGCCUCUAAGCUUCAGAUUGUAAGGAAUCGUACCCCAAACCGACACAGGUGGUCGGGUAGAGAAUACCAAGGCGCUUGAGAGAACUCGGGUGAAGGAACUAGGCAAAAUGGUACCGUAACUUCGGGAGAAGGUACGCUUCUGACGGUGAAGUCCCUUGCGGAUGGAGCUAUCGGAAGUCGCAGAUACCAGGUGGCUGCAACUGUUUAUUAAAAACACAGCACUGUGCAAAAUCGUAAGAUGACGUAUACGGUGUGACGCCUGCCCGGUGCCGGAAGGUUAAUUGAUGGGGUUAGACUUCGGUCGAAGCUCUUGAUCGAAGCCCCGGUAAACGGCGGCCGUAACUAUAACGGUCCUAAGGUAGCGAAAUUCCUUGUCGGGUAAGUUCCGACCUGCACGAAUGGCGUAAUGAUGGCCACGCUGUCUCCACCCGAGACUCAGUGAAAUUGAAAUCGCUGUGAAGAUGCAGUGUACCCGCGGCUAGACGGAAAGACCCCGUGAACCUUUACUACAGCUUGGCACUGAACAUUGAGCCUACAUGUGUAGGAUAGGUGGGAGGCUUUGAAGCAGGUACGCCAGUAUCUGUGGAGCCGACCUUGAAAUACCACCCUUGUAUGUUUGAUGUUCUAACUUAGCCCCAUUAUCUGGGGUGAGGACAGUGCCUGGUGGGUAGUUUGACUGGGGCGGUCUCCUCCCAAAGAGUAACGGAGGAGCACGAAGGUGGGCUAAUCACGGUUGGACAUCGUGAGGUUAGUGCAAUGGCAUAAGCCCGCUUGACUGCGAGAAUGACAAUUCGAGCAGGUGCGAAAGCAGGUCAUAGUGAUCCGGUGGUUCUGAAUGGAAGGGCCAUCGCUCAACGGAUAAAAGGUACUCCGGGGAUAACAGGCUGAUACCGCCCAAGAGUUCAUAUCGACGGCGGUGUUUGGCACCUCGAUGUCGGCUCAUCACAUCCUGGGGCUGAAGUCGGUCCCAAGGGUAUGGCUGUUCGCCAUUUAAAGUGGUACGCGAGCUGGGUUUAGAACGUCGUGAGACAGUUCGGUCCCUAUCUGCCGUGGGCGUUGGAAGAUUGAAGGGGGCUGCUCCUAGUACGAGAGGACCGGAGUGGACGAACCUCUGGUGUUCGGGUUGUGUCGCCAGACGCAUUGCCCGGUAGCUAAGUUCGGAAUCGAUAACCGCUGAAAGCAUCUAAGCGGGAAGCGAGCCCUGAGAUGAGUCUUCCCUGACCCCUUGAGGGUCCUAAAGGGUUGUUCGAGACUAGAACGUUGAUAGGCAGGGUGUGUAAGCGUUGUGAGGCGUUGAGCUAACCUGUACUAAUUGCCCGUGAGGCUUAACCAUACAACACCCAAAGGGUUUUG